ACUCCUACGGGAGGCAGCAGUGGGGAAUAUUGGACAAUGGGCGAAAGCCUGAUCCAGCCAUGCCGCGUGUGUGAAGAAGGUCUUCGGAUUGUAAAGCACUUUAAGUUGGGAGGAAGGGCAGUAAGUUAAUACCUUGCUGUUUGACGUUACCAACAGAAUAAGCACCGGCUAACUUCGUGCCAGCAGCCGCGGUAAUACGAAGGGUGCAAGCGUUAAUCGGAAUUACUGGGCGUAAAGCGCGCGUAGGUGGUUCAGCAAGUUGGAUGUGAAAUCCCCCGGGCUCAACCUGGGAACUGCAUCCAAAACUACUGAGCUAGAGUACGGUAGAGGUGGUGGAAUUUCCUGUGUAGCGGUGAAAUGCGUAGAUAUAGGAAGGAACACCAGUGGCGAAGGCGACACCUGGACUGAUACUGACACCGAGGUGCGAAAGCGUGGGAGCAAACAGGAUUAGAUACCCUGGUAGGAUAGCG
rnacentral:rRNA from 1 species